UACAUUGUUGCCUCUUUAAAUCUCAACGACAUAUUUGCUUCUUCAAUUCUUGGGUUUUCUCCCAAAAUUUUCUUUUUUCCCUUCUUUUGCAUUUCCCUUUUGGAUUUCAAAGAAUAGGCAAGUUCCCUUUGCUGCUUUCUUCUUUGCUUCUUCUCUUUAUUGAUAUUUUCAUUGUAGUUUUUCGAAAAAUGAAAUUGACUUAAUCCAAAUAGGAAUAUUUUGGAUUUUGCUUUUUUCUAAAAAAAAUUAUUUUUAUGGUUUUUUUUCAUUUUUGUUUCCUAUUGUGUAUUAUGGAAUUGAUUUAUUUUUGUUUAACAUUUUUAUUUAAUAUGGAUUUUAUAUAUUCAAUUAUGUUUAGUUGUUUUGCAGAUUUGAGAUUUUUUACUAAGGUUUUGACUCUUAUAUUUUGAGGAUUAUUUUUGUUUUCUUUUUCUUGAAAAGGAAUGUACGCAAAAUGUGGUAGUGGUGAUGAGCUUUCUUCAACAUGUCGAGCAACAAAAGGACCUAAAGUGGUUACUGGUUUGGGUGCAAGACUGCUUGCAAUUUUUCUAAGGUGCCUUAUGUUUUGGACACAAAAGAAUUUUUUUGUUUUAGGUGAAACAAAAAUUAAUCUCUGAUUAGAACAAAGAAUGACAUAAUCGGGCAACAAUUUCAAAAGGUAAUUCAAUUAUACUACAAAAGGCAACAACGAUAUUGAAUAUUACUUUUGGCACAUACUUCGAUGACAUAAGUAAAUAUGGUAUGUCUAUAUCCAUUUGUCGUUAUGGUAGGUUUGUAGCUAUAUCUACUUAUGUCAUCGAAGUAUAUGCCAAAAGCAAUCUCAGAUAUCGCUAUUGCCUUCGUAGUAUAAUUAAAUUAUCAUUUGAAAUUGUUGUCCGGUUAUGGCAUUGGUUGUUUUGAUUCGAGGCUAAUUUUCGUUUCACUCAAAACAAAAAAAUCUUCCGUUUCCAAAACAUUGACACCUAGGAAGAAUUGCAAGCAGUCUUGCACUCCAAACUGUUGAAGUUUUUGGCUUACUUGUUCCAUGUUCUAUUAGAAUAAAGAACAAAUUCUGCAUAGGUCCUAGGCUAUUUCGGCCUCAUAUGUUUGAUAAAAUAACAGUUGGUUUUUGUCUAAGACUCUUCAUAUGAUCAUAUUAAGAAGUUUUAAAGUGUUGAAAAUGUUUAUCCUUAUCAUUAUCCUUACCUCUUAAGAGAGUUUGGGAGUUAUUGAAUAAAUACUCCAGGAUAAUCAAUUGGAUAAUUUCAAGUUUUAAAUAGGAAUUUAAAGCUUC
rnacentral:lncRNA from 1 species